GAUGAACGCUGGCGGCGUGCCUAACACAUGCAAGUCGAGCGAUUUACUUCGGUAAAGAGCGGCGGACGGGUGAGUAACGCGUGGGUAACCUGCCCUGUACACACGGAUAACAUACCGAAAGGUAUGCUAAUACGGGAUGAUGUACUUUUGUCGCAUGGCAAAAGUAUCAAAGCUCCGGCGGUACAGGAUGGACCCGCGUCUGAUUAGCUAGUUGGUGAGGUAAUGGCUCACCAAGGCGACGAUGCGUAGCCGACCUGAGAGGGUGAUCGGCCACAUUGGGACUGAGACACGGCCCAGACUCCUACGGGAGGCUG
rnacentral:rRNA from 1 species